rnacentral:rRNA from 1 species
UACGAAGGGGGCUAGCGUUGCUCGGAAUCACUGGGCGUAAAGCGCACGUAGGCGGAUUGCUAAGUCAGGGGUGAAAUCCUGGAGCUCAACUCCAGAACUGCCCUUGAUACUGGCGGUCUCGAGUCCGGGAGAGGGGAGUGGAACUGCGAGUGUAGAGGUGAAAUUCGUAGAUAUUCGCAAGAACACCAGUGGCGAAGGCGGCUCACUGGCCCGGUACUGACGCUGAGGUGCGAAAGCGUGGGGAGCAAACAGG